rnacentral:rRNA from 2 species
UGGGGAAUAUUGGACAAUGGGCGCAAGCCUGAUCCAGCCAUGCCGCGUGAGUGAUGAAGGCCCUAGGGUUGUAAAGCUCUUUCAGUGGGGACGAUAAUGACGGUACCCACAGAAGAAGCCCCGGCUAACUUCGUGCCAGCAGCCGCGGUAAUACGAAGGGGGCUAGCGUUGUUCGGAAUUACUGGGCGUAAAGCGCACGUAGGCGGAAAUUUAAGUCAGGGGUGAAAUCCCGGGGCUCAACCCCGGAACUGCCUUUGAUACUGGGUUUCUUGAGUUCGGAAGAGGUAAGUGGAAUUGCGAGUGUAGAGGUGAAAUUCGUAGAUAUUCGCAGGAACACCAGUGGCGAAGGCGGCUUACUGGUCCGAUACUGACGCUGAGGUGCGAAAGCGUGGGGAGCAAACAGG